AAAAUACGUAGCUCAUAGGGUCUACAGGUUCUGAACUUAUCCUUAGGCCUCGUUCGAUCCCCACAGAACUCCCGAGCCGCCGACCCACAUGAGCCAUUUCUUCCGAUUUGCCGCCGGUGAAGAAAGGUGGGCGGGUGAGUCCAUGAGUCCGUAAGGUGUGAAUCCACGCCAACCUCGUUGAGUCUAGCGGAGCGGCAGGGAGGGCCAUUGCGAGCGCGGCGCGCUGCUGAACCGGCGGCUAGUGGCUGUGGUGGAGAUGCUGGAGGUUGGUGGCACCGAGGAGGCGGUGAGGGAGCACCGGUUCACGGAUUUUCUGGACGAAAUCAUGCGAUUCGGUCUAAGUUUGUUGGUGGCAAGGCAACAAUGUCAGCGCAACAAAUGUCCCAAAAAGAAUGGUUGUUCGGAUGGAGGAUGCUGAAGAAUGGCUGGAUGGACAGAGGAUGGCCUGCUGCGUUGGUCCAUGGGAGGUAUGGGGGUAACAGAGGCAAGAUGCAUAUAAGGAGACCGUUGGAUAAUCAAAUAGCAGCAAGAUGUUAGUGGCUUCUGGGGACGGCAUGGCUCCUACAAAAUGUGAAGUACCAGCUAAUGGCUUCAAUUGCUAGCUUCAAGGAGACGGCUGUAGGGUUACCUCAUCAUCGUCGUCAUCUCUGCCGCCACCGCUGCUUCUUCGACGUCUACGUCUCAAGGUGGGAAUGGGCCGGGUCGACCCACCGGGUCUUUGGCCCGACCCAAAAAAACAAGGCCAAUGGGUCAGUCGGGUCGGCCUCAUACAAAAAUCGGGCCAGUAGAGCCGGCACGGAGUGCCCAUCGGGUCAGCGGGGCCGACCCACCUCCGAGAGUACUGGAGUCAAUCGGUAUCGCCAAAUCCAUCUUACUAGCUUAGCUUAUCUAUAUCUAUAUCUAUACCUCUAUAUCUAUAUCUAUACCUCUAUAUCUAUACCUCUAUAUCUAUAUCUAUAUCUAUAUCUAUAUCUAUACCUCUAUAUCUAUAUCUAUACUUCUAUAUCUAUAUCUAUAUCUAUAUCUAUACCUUUAUAUCUAUAUCUAUACCUACUAAUAAAGCAGAUAUUGCUUCUGCCCGUACGUCACAAAAAUCGCCCCCCGAAGUUGCUAGAAAUUACCCGCGAUGCCACCCGUAAGUGAAGAAAACGAUUCGAUUUUUCUUUUCAAAGUCGCCGUCGUUUCCAGAGUUUGUAUACAGUUAAUAUCCAACAAAUAUCAGUGACGCAGUAGCAGUGCGGUGGCUCGAUGCAUUGUCUUCUGCCCUGUAGACCAGGGUUCGAACCCCAGCUUCUACCAAUAUUUUCCUCCACUUUUUUCUCAUGACUUAUUCCCACCUACUUUAGGACUACAUGGGCCAGCCAGCGGACUUAAUGCCCUGUUUUUUUUUCUUUUUUCUGGUCUUCUCUUUUCUCACUUCUGUUUUUGUUUUCUCCUUCUUUAAAUCAAUUUGAGAUUUUCAAGUAUUAAAAAGUUGCGAGUUUGAAAAAGCUGUUUGAGAAAUUAUAAAAUGUGUGUGAAUUCAAAAAAGUUCAGGAAAUCAUAAAAUUUUCGUGGUUUCAAAAAAUGUUACUGAUUUUACAAAAAUAUUUGCAAAUUAUAAAAAUAAUUUGGAAAGAAAUGUCGUUAAAUAAAAUCAAGUUCAUGAUCUUGAUAAAAUGAUCGUGUAUUCAAAACAUAUUUGUGAAUCUGAGUCAUCAUGAAAUCAAAAACUAUUCAUGCAUUUCAAUAAAUGUUCGUCUAAAAAACAAAUGUUUGUGAAUUUAAAAAAAUGUCUAAAUUUAAAAAGAAUGUUUGUCGAUUCAAAAAACUCUUCCUAUUCAGAUGUAUUUUAUAUCUAGGAUUUGAUUAAUUUUGGAAAUUCUUUAUAUGUCUUGGGGUUGGCGAGUAGUCCAUGGUCGAUGAGAUUUGUUUUCAAAGUUCAAAACAUUCCCUUGCGCGAGACAAUGACAAGUGUGUCGUACAGUGACAAGCCCAUUUUUUACCACGUUGAAUGCAUUGCGAUCACGUGGAUAUUGCAUCCACAUCAACGAGAGUGAGAAGAAAGAUAAUUGGCAACAUGGUGAGCCAUCGUGUUAAAAUAGAGGACAUUCAUAUGUCGGAUAUUGACCAACGUGUAAUUUUUUCUUCCGUUGCAACGCACGGGCAUAUUUGCUAGUACAACUAACAUCAGCUAAUUAUAGUGUACUAAUUAGCCGAAACAUUAACUAGCUAACAUUUGUACACGUACUGGAAUCCAUUAACUCAAUCCUCCUUUAUAAACUGGACGUGGAAAGAGCUGAAACUGUAUAUUGUGGUUCAUUUGUAAACUUUUAUUAUUUCAAUCAUGCAUGUUUAGAUCAUAAUUUUGUUUUACUUGUAAUAACAUAUUUUUGAGAAUAUCCUAUGUACCACAACCAAAUAUUGUAUAAGAAAAUAAAAUUUGGGUCGACCCAAAGUACCCAUUGGGCCGGCGAGGCCAUUGACUUUUUUGAAUUGGGUCGACCCGUGGCCUCUCAAAUUGGCCUCAAGGCCAACAGGGCCGGGUCCAAGGCCAGGUCCGGGCCGACUCAUUCCCACCCUGAUCUACGUCCAUGUCGGCCAGGCUUCAAGUGCUAGCUUCAAGGAGACGGCUGUAGGGUUACCUCAUCAUCGUCGUCAUCUCUGUUCGCCGCCGCUGCUUCUUCGAUGCCUCCAUGUCGGCCAUGGGAUGGCUGCUUGGUACUCUUACCUUUGCUACCAUCCGCUGAUUUCAGGACGCGAAGACUUCGUCCCUGAUCGAUCGUAUUCCUAGGGUUUGAAGGCAAGCCUCUAUUCAAUUGAGAUGACUGGUUUGUGUGCUCAGAGCCAAAUUUCCUUCACGGUCUGUGUUGAUGUUUGAGUUCAUGAGCACGUUAUGGUUCCUCCACGUACAUGUGUAAUCUAACCGAGAGAUUAUUAGAAGUUAAAAAGUAUUUCCUUCUAUGACA